rnacentral:rRNA from 1 species
UACGAAGGGGGCUAGCGUUGCUCGGAAUGACUGGGCGUAAAGCGUGCGCAGGCGGUUCUCCAAGUCCGUUGUGAAAGCCCCGGGCUCAACCUGGGAAUGGCAGUGGAAACUAGGGGACUGGAAUCUGGCAGAGGGGGGUGGAAUGCCGCGUGUAGCAGUGAAAUGCGUAGAGAUGCGGCGGAACACCGAUGGCGAAGGCAGCCCCCUGGGCUGAGAUUGACGCUCAGGCACGAAAGCGUGGGGAGCAAACAGG